UAAUACGGAGGAUGCAAGCGUUAUCCGGAAUUAUUGGGCGUAAAGCGUCCGUAGGUGGUUAUGCAAGUCUGCUGUUAAAGAGUGGAGCUUAACUCCAUAGAGGCGGUGGAAACUGCAUAGCUAGAGAGUGGUAGGGGUAGAGGGAAUUCCCAGUGUAGCGGUGAAAUGCGUAGAUAUUGGGAAGAACACCGGUGGCGAAAGCGCUCUACUGGGCCACAUCUGACACUGAUGGACGAAAGCUAGGGGAGCGAAAGGG
rnacentral:rRNA from 1 species